CGGGAGCAGUGCUCCGGCCGGAAACCCAGACCCCGACUUUUGAUGCCCGGCGCCUGCGGCUCGCUCCCGGGGCAAAGCUCGCAAAUCCUGCAUCCCCAUCCCAGACAGCAUCCCUUCCCUAAUCAAGGUGCUGUUUUAGAUCCUGGGGAUUCAGCAGUGAACAAAGUCCCGGCUUUGGUUAUAUUUUGGUGGGGAGAAACAAAAUAAAUAAGGAAAUUUAUGAUACGAUAAAAGGCGAUGAAUGCCAAGGAAAAAGCAGGAAAGGAGAAUGGGAGCUAUAAGGUUGUUUCAGUUUUUAAUGGGGCGAUCAGGAAAGGUUUCACUGAGAAGGUGACCUUUGAGGCAGGUGAAUAAGAGCCAUGUUGGGAAAAUCAUUCCAGGCAGAGGGAACAGCAAGGACCAAGGCCCUGAGUCAUGAGCCUAAUGCCGUGUCAUUUAAGGAUCAGCAAAGUGGUCAUGGAGUGUCUGGAACAGGAGGUAAAGAAAGAGUAGAAAAUGUGGUUGGGGAAAAAUACGGUUUUAAGGACUUUAACUUGGAGAAAUUGGGGGAGAUUUUGGAGGAAUUUACAUGAUCUGACUUCCGUUCAACAGCUUAGUCUGGCUGUUGAGGGGAGAAUAGAGUGCUAGGGGGAAAAGGUAGAAGUUGGGAGACAAGUCAGGAGACUAUUACUAAUCUGGACAAGUUAUAACAGUAGCUUGACCCAGGUAAAAACAGCGGAAACAGUGAUAAGUAGAAUCUGGAAAUACAUACAGAUUUUGAAGGCAGAGCUAUAAGGAUAAUUUAAAGUACAAGAAGCAGACUGUGUGAAAAAGAAAGGAGUCGUUGAUGACUUCAAGACUUUUGCCAUGAGCAACUGGAGGGGUGAAGCUGUCAUUGACUAAGUAGGGGCAGACUGUUUCAGACACUGUUUUAGGCACAAGAAAUAAAACCGUGAAGUAAAACAAUCUCUACCUCAUGACGUUGACAUUCUAGCUGGAGGAGACUCAUAAUAAAUACAUGGAUAAAUAAUUACAUUCAUAUAAAAAUGUCAGGUGGCAAAAAACCGCCCUAAGGAAAACGAAAUUAAGAAAGAAAGGCCUCUCAAAUAAAGGUAACAUUUGAGAAGAAACGAAAGAAGUGGGGUGCCCAGCCAUGCACAUAUUUGGAGGAUUAGUGCCCCAGACCUGGAUACUAGGGCAGUCCUUAAUAAGCGAGGAGGAGGUGGGAGAAGGCAUGAGGUCAGAAGGGUGACCGGGGCUGGGUCAUGACGAAGGCCUUGUGGAAUAUAGCGAGGGCAUCAGUGUAUUCUCAGUGAGGUGCCAAGCAAAAGAGUGACAGCAGCUGCUUUGUGUUUCAGAGGGAUUCAUCCGGGCUCUGGAGAAUAGGUCGUAAGGGGGCCGAGGGGGGGCCACCGAAAUAACCCAGGUGUGGGCUGCUGUAGGGUGAGACGUGAUGCUGAUGAGAAGUGGUCACAUUUAAAGGUAUAAGCAAAACGCCUUUCCUGAUGGAUUGGAUGUGGGGUAGGAGAGAAAGAGCUAAGAAUGACCACAAUGUUUUGGGUGUGAACUUAUGUAAGAAUUCAGGUGCCGUUUAACUGAGAUGGCAAAUACUUCUGUGUGGGCUCAUGAUACAGUUUGGAGGGAAAAGAUCAAGGGUUUCUUUUGGGGUAUGUUUAAGUUAGUGAUGCCUAUUCAGUAUCCAUAUGCAGAUGUUGGGUAUGCUGCCAAAUAGAUGUGUUUGCUGUUCAAGGUAGGGCAACAACUGGAGGCAUAACUUUGGAAGUCAAGGUCAUCAAGAGUCAAUGUGGAGAGAGAGAGAUCAGAGGGCUGAGACAUACAGAAGCAGGGACCAGGAAGGAGAAUCCACAAAAGGAGGCUAAGAAUGAAUACCCACGAGGCAGAACGAAAGCCAGUAGAAUGCGGUGUCCUGGGAGCCAAGUGAAGAGAAUGUGUCCAAAAGUGCAGUCAGCUAUGUCUCAUGCUGCUGAGAACUGCAGCAAGGUGGAGACUGGGGGCUGACCAGGUUAGGAAGUUGGGAUCGGUGACCUUGCCAAGAGUGGCUUCAUUGUUGGAGAUGAAAGCCAAACAGAGUGGGUUCAACAGAGAAUGGUGGAAGAGUGUGGACCACUCGUGCGGGGAUUUUGUUGUAGACAGAGGCGGAGGAGCCAUAGCUGGUAGGCAAUGUAGAGUCAAAUGAGACUUUUACAUGUUUUUCUUUCUUUGCCCACUUAAGAUGUUUAUAAGCUGAUGGAAAUGAACUUUCAGAGAGAAAUGAUGGGACAAAAGAGAGAGGGAAUGAUUUCAGGGUGGUAUCACUGAGCUGAGGAGAGGGGUGGGGUCCUCGUAGACAGUUCGUCUGUGGCAGAACCAGGAAAGAAGGGGAGACGUGUCAGUCAGACAUAGGCACUGGCGGGAACAUGGUGGAUGGCUCUUCGCAUCGUUCCCCCGGAAACGGGAAGUAAGUCAUCAGCCGAGCGUGGAAGUGGGAGGGUCGUACAAGGUCUGAGGACAGAGCAAAGACAUAAUAUAUCUUGGAAAUAGGAGAGUUACAUCAGAUAUCUGGUUAAUUGUCAGGCAGCAUUAGGGGCCCUGGACAUCUGUGAUCAUAAAUAUGAAGAUAAGACCAGUCAACACACCCAGCCAUUCAGCUGCUUUGUUAAAACCCCUUUGCCCCAAAGGGACCAAUUAAAUGUAUUCACAACUUGGAAGAUAUCUUCCCGGUAGUAUACUACUGACAGCCACUUGUCAUCACAGGGAUACGUGCCUUUUUGUUUAGAAAGAGAAAAGAUAACUCAUCUGACAGAUCUUUUAAGUAUUUCACCAUGAGCUGUCCAACAACCUUUUAUGUUCAUCGAAGAACUUUCAUAGACUUCGGCUCGCUACAGAGUACAGUAACAAUCCCACGACAUCCAAAAGGUCUUGUGUAUAUAAAAUUAGCUAUAUCCACGGCAUUCUACAGCAACGUAUGUACCUCUGCCUGCAAUUUUUGCUGCUACUUCCUGCUGGUGAAUGAGGUAAUGGAUGGAUUUUACCAGUGGCACUUAUCUCAGAGUUCUUUUAUUAUUUUAGUCAAACCGGCCAAUCCUUCCAUGGCUACGUGGACACAAUUUUACCACAAAAUAUUGUUUUAAUAAAAGAAAUGAUUUACUGUCCA